AGGUCCGUAGUUCAACUGGUCAGAGCACCGGCCUCAUAAGCCGGGAGUUGAGAGUUCGAGUCUCUCCGGGCCAACAA
rnacentral:tRNA from 1 species